rnacentral:rRNA from 1 species
UACGUAGGGUGCAAGCGUUAAUCGGAAUUACUGGGCAUAAAGCGUGCGCAGGCGGCUUUGCAAGACAGAUGUGAAAUCCCCGGGCUUAACCUGGGAACUGCAUUUGUGACUGCAUGGCUGGAGUGCGGCAGAGGGGGAUGGAAUUCCGCGUGUAGCAGUGAAAUGCGUAGAUAUGCGGAGGAACACCGAUGGCGAAGGCAAUCCCCUGGGCCUGCACUGACGCUCAUGCACGAAAGCGUGGGGAGCAAACAGG